rnacentral:lncRNA from 1 species
GUCAGACUUUUCUCCCUUUUUGUGUUAGUCAGGUUUCCACUUCUGUAACAAAUACCUGAGGUAUUCAAAAUGAGGAAAUGUUUGUGUCGGCUAAUAGUUUGGGAAGUUUCAGUUCACAGUAGGUUGACCCCAUUGUUUUGGGGUCUGUGGUGAGGGAGCACAUCAUAGCUGGAUUAGGUGGCAAAUGAAGCUGUUUGCCUCAUAACAGGAAGUAGAGAGCGAAGAAGGAAGAGACUGUGAGCCCCACAAUCCCCUUUGAGGGCAUGCCACCAAUGAUUUAACUUUCUCCCACUAGAAUCUCCCUCUGAAAGUCUCCACCACCUCCCAAUAGUACCACAGGCUGGGAACCAAGCCUUUAGCAACAUGGGCCUUUGAGGGACACUUAUCCAAACCAUAGCACAUUUUAAGACUGAAUAGUAUCCUAUUGUAGAUAUAAUUUGUUCAUCCAUCAGUGGAUAUUUGGGUUGCUUCUACCUUUUGGCUAGUAUGAAUAACCCUACUGAAUUGCAGAAAGCACACCUGAAAGAAAUCAUAUUCUCUGAGCAAAUGCCUGGACACUGGACACUGGAAAGAGUUAAAAGAAGGUUCAGAAGAAGGAAGCACUUGGACUGGGUCAUAAAAGUAAGUAGAUUGGGGCAGGGAGACAGCAGCCUUCCCCUCAGCUAACAAGUUACUGUCAGUGGUACAUGGACUCCAUGUGCAGAUAGGUGUAGGGGUGUGUGUGUGUGUGUGUGUGUGUGUGUGUGUGUGUGUGUGUGUUGGGGGGCGGGAAUCCAGUGCUGAGUGGGCCCCAAAGCCCAGUGUCAGUCCAGGGCACUGGCAAAGGACAAGAAAAUGGAACAAAUCAGGGAAGGCUGGAACAAAUGACCCACUGAGGGGAGGGAGGGCAGGAGCUGGGCCUGGAACACUUCCUGAGAGCUUCUUUUCCUUCAGAUACCUUGAUUCAUGAGAAUAUUUUUUUUUAAUUGAGCAAAUCAGAAUCCCCACCACCACCACAUUUCAACCCUUCAGUAGUCCUUCCAACCUGGCUCAGCCUCAAAUCUAGAGCAUGUGAUUCCUCUGCUCAAAAGUUUUUCAGACUCCUGUUGCUUGUAAUAGUCUCUAAGCUAGCAUGUUAAGUCUUCCCUGAUCUGGCAGGCAGCAUUGUUUCAGUUGCAAGUGAUAGAAGCAUGGCCCAAUCUAGCACCUGAACCCAGGACAGCAGGGUCUGCAAAUACCUCUUUCAUUCACCACUCUAUUUCCAGGUCCAGCAAUGUUGCUUGGCACUUAGAAUACUUUAGUUAAGUAUUUGUGGAAUAACUAAAUAAAAUGGCUUAAAAUUUAAAAAGGAAAACAUGUGCUCUGGUAACAGAGGGAAGGAAGAGGAGCUGGACACAGAACAGUGUGGGUCCAGGGACACAAACAACAUCAUCCUGUGUUUCUGUCUCUGUCCCUCUCCUGGUAUGGGUCCUCCCAUAGUGGACAUGGUAGAACAGGGUAAGGGAGGGCCUAGCUUGAUACAACACCAGGUUUAGAAACUUCAGAAGAGAGACUCCAUCCAUUUCAGUAUUUAAAAAAAGAAAUAAAUCCCAGGCAAGUACUCUGAUUGAUUAGGCUGGGGUCACGUGAAUUUUCUCUAGGGCAAUCACCAGGGAAAGGAGGAUGGAAUAUUAUGAUUGGUCAACCUUGGGUCUCUUGCCUGGUGGGAGGCUCAACCGUUUCCUGUGAUUGGCAGCCCUUGCAAAAGCCCUUGAUUGCAGUGGAGGAGGGGCAGUUCCCCAAAAGGAAAGAACCCAGGAGGGGUGCUGUUAUCAGAAGACAAGGAGAAUUUGGUACUGGCAGGAAAAACAAAAAGCCAAAUGUCUGGAGACUAGUGCAUAAAUACUCCGUCAGCAUGAGACUGGAGUGUGAGUCCCAGGACAGCCUGGAGGAGCCUGUAACAAGCUUGAAAUGAUUUUAAGGUCUCAGUUUUAUCUUUUUAAAUCUGUGCUCACUUUAACAGAAAAGCAAUGCUUUAAAAUUUUCACUACUGAAUUAAACCUGUCCCUAAGAGAUCUUGCCAUAUUUGGGGGAGGAGGGGCUGUUGCACCCCUUGAAACCCUGUUAUACCCUUAAAAGUAUGCAAAGGCCACGAGGAGAAGCAAGACUUGACCUUGACAGUUUCCUCCAGGCUAUCUUCUAACUACUCUGGUGACAGAUAGCAUCCAUUCCUGUCUGUGCUGUAUUCAUGCUAUGCUCCCCCUUCCUGGAUUGUUCUCCCCUGUCCUCUCAAGUCCCACAUCCUUGUAUUGGGUCGCUCCCUUUGUCCUUUAGACCCAGUGUAUUAUACUGGAAAGAGCCCUGAAGACCAAGGGUCACUUUCUAUGGUUGCCCUCAAUUCUCUGCAUGACUUCUCUCUGCGAGUUAUUUCCUCUCUGUAACUCCAUUUCCUCUUCUGUAAAAUGAGAGUCGGAUUGAUCUGUUAGCAAAGGGAAGCUCUCCCUCCCUCCCUCCCUGCCUCCCCCACCCCCA